rnacentral:rRNA from 1 species
AUUGAACGCUGGCGGCGUGCCUAACACAUGCAAGUCGAGCGGUAACAGGUGUAGCAAUACAUGCUGACGAGCGGCGAACGGGUGAGUAAUGCUUCGGAAUCUACCCAAUGGUGGGGAAUAACCAGCCGAAAGGUUGGCUAAUACCGCAUACGUCCCACGGGAGAAAGCAGGGGAUCGCAAGACCUUGCGCCAAUGGAUGAGCCGAAGUCGGAUUAGCUAGNGGUAGGGUAACGGCCUACCAAGGCGACGAUCCGUAGCUGGUCUGAGAGGACGACCAGCCACACUGGGACUGAGACACGGCCCAGACUCCUACGGGAGGCAGCAGUGGGGAAUAUUGGACAAUGGGGGAAACCCUGAUCCAGCGACGCCGCGUGUGCGAAGAAGG